AGCCUUUAUCUCACUUUCCAAUCAAUUGCUACGUUUACAGAGGGAGACUCCAGUUGAGAGAAAAGAAGAAGUCGAGAGAAACAGGUAAAGGAAGUGGCGAAUGAAAUUGUUGAUCACCAACUGUUUUAGGUUAAUGCCAAUGAUAGAACAGUUCUAGAUCAAGUAACUGAUUCCUUAAAUUCCUUGCUAGUGCUAAUGAGGAUUCAGGAGAUUUCAAUUCAAACGAGAAUAAAUUCUCUAUGAAGUUUGGUAAGGUCAGUGAGAGUGUGGCAGAGAAGGGAGACUACACAACACAUUUUUGUACAUUGUUGUCUUGCACGAGUAAUAUGAUCUCAUCUCAUUAGUGCUUUCAAGACCUUGGAGGGAUCUGGUUUCUCAUCACCCAUCAUUCUAUCAGAUGUAUAUAUCUCAUCUUAAUCACUCCACUGAUUCUGGUAAGUUAAGUUUCCUUGUUGAAGCUGAGAAUCAAUUUCACUAUUUUGAGUAUGAUGAGAAUAAUAAAGGGACACCUAUCGAUAGUAUCAGAAGGAUAAACAUAAACCCUGCAUUUGAAAAUGUUGAUUAUUUUCAUUAUGGUUCGGUUAAUGGUUUGAUUUAUCUUUAUAAAUGGCGAGAUCAUCCGUCUUGUAUUUGUAACCCCGUGACAAGAGAAUAUGUUAUGCUUCCAACUCCAGAAACUAGCUAUGGUGUUAAUGAGCAUAUCCAUGUUUCCAGCGGAUUCGGGUACGUUUCUUUAACUAAUGAGUAUAAGGUUGUUGAACUGUAUAAGCUAUGGAGAGAUAAUGCUUCUCUAAAGGUUGCGGUGUACACUCUUGGCAGUGGCAAGGGGUGGAGAUGUGUUGGGAGAUUUUUGGAUUAUAAAAAUUUCCAAGAGUUACAAUGGUCCUAGUGUGUUUGCAAAUGGAGCGCUGCGUUGGGUGGAUAAAAGAGGAAGAGUGUUAACUUUCGAUUUGACUGAGGAGAAGUUCCGUGAACCUCUCUCACCACCUCCUUCGCCGCAUCUUGGAGUGACGCCUUUUGAUACGGUAGGGGAGUUGGACGGGGUUUUAUAUUAUGUUACAGGACAUGACGAUGAUGAGGAAAUCAUCAAAGACAGAUGUUUGACAUAUGGCUACUUCAAAAGAAGAACAAUAUCCCUGACAUGAAAGAGCAGGUGGAAAACGAGCCAUUGGGUUGGAGUAAAGAGUUUAGUCUUCUCGAAAGAGAACCAUUAGCCUUUACCAAGAGCGGCAGUGUUUUAUGUUACAAUUAUCACUCUCUCGAUAUUUAUGACCCCAUAUCUUCAACCUCAAAAGAGCUUGUGAAAUCUGAAUUACUUGGUCGAGUAUUUCCCCAUCAGAUAACUUUGGUGUCGUUGAAAGAAUUAGGAGAAGAAAAUGUAAAAGAAUUCGAGUCACCUAAAAUUGAGGAGACAGAAAAUCGUGGUCAGCCGACAAUCCAGCUAGCAAGAUGAGAUCCUUGGGUACAUUUAUCAACUGGAGAUCGCUUAGUGAAUCUGGAAGUCUCAACGAGGGCCAGGGAUCCAAAACAGACUGAAGUUCUAAUUUUGCGUAAAGAUGUGGAAUGGGCUUUCCAUGUAAAUCCAUGACUUCUACACACGUGAGGAUUUAAAUCUUUUAAAGAAUGUAGCUCUAUUUUGGGUCUUUAAAUUGUUGUUUGUCAAAAGGCAAGCGGAGUCAAAUAGCUGAUUGCAUUGCUAAGAAUUGUUUUUAAAUGAAAGUAGAUGAAAGAAGAAAAUGGAUCACUCAACUAGAUUGCUGUAUUUUGCACUCGAAAUUACCAUUUCCUUUUGCCUAAAUG